rnacentral:rRNA from 1 species
GGACUACCCGGGUAUCUAAUCCCGUUCGCUCCCCUGGCUUUCGUGUCUCAGCGUCAGCAGGCCCCCAGCAGACUGUUUUCACCUUUGGCGUUCCAAGUGAUAUCUACGCAUUUCACCGCUCCACCACUUGUUCCAUCUGCCCCUAGGCCGCUCAAGAUCGCCAGUAUACCCAGCCGUUCCACGGUUGAGCCGUGGGAUUUCACAAGGUACUUAACGAUCCGCCUACACACGCUUUAAGCCCAGUGAUUCCGCCUAACGCUCGGCACCUCUGUCUUACCGCGGCUGCUGGCAC